rnacentral:tRNA from 1 species
GCUGCUGUAGCUCAGGUGGUAGAGCACGUCAUUGGUAAUGACGAGGUCGGCAGUUCGAGUCUGCCCAGCAGCUCCA